rnacentral:misc_RNA from 1 species
GAUGAAGAACGCAGCGAAAUGCGAUAAGUAAUGUGAAUUGCAGAAUUCAGUGAAUCAUCGAAUAUUUGAACGCGCAUUGCGUCCGCCAGUAUUCUGGCGGGCAUGCCUGUUCGAGCGUCAUUUCAACCAUCAAGCCCCCGGCUUGUGUUGGGGACCUGCGGCUGCCGCAGGCCCUGAAAAGCAGUGGCGGGCUCGCUGUCACACCGAGCGUAGUAGCAUACAUCUCGCUCUGGGCGUGCUGCGGGUUCCGGCCGUUAAACCACCUUCAUAACCCAAGGUUGACCUCGGAUCAGGUAGGAAGACCCGCUGAACUUAAGCAUAUCAAUAAGCGGAGGA